rnacentral:rRNA from 2 species
UUGUCAUGCCAAUGGCACUGCCCGGUAGCUAAAUGCGGAAGAGAUAAGUGCUGAAAGCAUCUAAGCACGAAACUUGCCCCGAGAUGAGUUCUCCCUGACUCCUUGAGAGUCCUGAAGGAACGUUGAAGACGACGACGUUGAUAGGCCGGGUGUGUAAGCGCAGCGAUGCGUUGAGCUAACCGGUACUAAUGAACCGUGAGGCUUAACCUU